CCUGGCCUUGACAUACUAAGAACUUUCCAGAGAUGGAUUGGUGCCCUCGGGAACUUAGAUACAGGUGCUGCAUGGCUGUCGUCAGCUCGUGUCGUGAGAUGUUGGGUUAAGUCCGCAACGAGCGCAACCCUUUUCCUUAUUUGCCAGCGGGUAAUGCCGGGAACUUUAAGGAUACUGCCAGUGACAAACUGGAGGAAGGCGGGGACGACGUCAAGUCAUCAUGGCCCUUACGGCCAGGGCUACACACGUGCUACAAUGGUCGGUACAAAGGGUUGCUACCUCGCGAGAGGAUGCUAAUCUCAAAAAGCCGAUCGUAGUCCGGAUCGCAGUCUGCAACUCGACUGCGUGAAGUCGGAAUCGCUAGUAAUCGCGGAUCAGAAUGCCGCGGUGAAUACGUUCCCGGGCCUUGUACACACCGCCCGUCACACCAUGGGAGUUUGUUGCACCAGAAGUAGGUAGUCUAACCGCAAGGAGGACGCUUACCACGGUGUGGCCGAUGACUGGGGUGAAGUCGUAACAAGGUAGGCGUAGAUGA
rnacentral:rRNA from 1 species